GCCUUCGUGGUGUAAUGGUCAGCACACUGAGCCGUAAUUUCAGAGGUCCGUGGUUCGAUCCCCGGCGAAGGCA
rnacentral:tRNA from 1 species